GAAUUCAACUCCUACGGGAGGCAGCAGUGGGGAAUAUUGGACGAUGGGCGCAAGCCUGAUCCAGCCAUGCCGCGUGAGUGAUGAAGGCCUUAGGGUUGUAAAGCUCUUUUGUCCGGGAAGAUAAUGACUGUACCGGAAGAAUAAGCCCCGGCUAACUUCGUGCCAGCAGCCGCGGUAAUACGAAGGGGGCUAGCGUUGCUCGGAAUCACUGGGCGUAAAGGGCGCGUAGGCGGACUCUUAAGUCGGGGGUGAAAGCCCAGGGCUCAACCCUGGAAUUGCCUUCGAUACUGAGAGUCUUGAGUUCGGAAGAGGUUGGUGGAACUGCGAGUGUAGAGGUGAAAUUCGUAGAUAUUCGCGAGAACACCAGUGGCGAAGGCGGCCAACUGGUCCGAUACUGACGCUGAGGCGCGAAAGCGUGGGGAGCAAACAGGAUUAGAAACCCUAGUAGUCCAGGCGUU
rnacentral:rRNA from 1 species